rnacentral:rRNA from 1 species
UACGUAGGUGACAAGCGUUGUCCGGAUUUACUGGGCGUAAAGAGCGCGCAGGCGGUCGAUCAAGUCGAGUGUGAAAGCCCCCGGCUCAACUGGGGAGGGUCAUUCGAUACUGUCCGACUCGAAGGCAGGAGAGGGAAGCGGAAUUCCCGGUGUAGUGGUGAAAUGCGUAGAUAUCGGGAGGAACACCAGUGGCGAAGGCGGCUUUCUGGCCUGUUCUUGACGCUGAGGCGCGAAAGCCAGGGGAGCAAACGGG